rnacentral:snRNA from 1 species
UUGUUUUGGCAGCACAUAUACUAAAACUGGAAUGAUACAGGGAUUAGCAUGGCCCCUGUGCAAGGAUGGCAUGCAAAUUUGUGAAGCAGUCCAUAUUUAA